CCGCUGCCCCUGGCCCGCUGGCUCGCCGCGCGCUCUCUUCCUCUUGCUAACUUUCGGGUUCUGCGAUCGACAAGAAACCGGGGCGACCCUCAGCAAGUCUUCCGGGUGCAGUUUUGGUCAGUCGCAGAGAUAAUCCAAGAAAGUCGCUGAGCCUUUGGGAGCCUUAGGCUGCACAUCCAGAAGAUGGGGAUAAUGACAGUCACGGCGUUACACACCGUGUGUGCUGUGCCUGGAACAGUCCUGCUACAGAACAGGUCUCAGGAGUGAUCUAACCGGCCGCUCUGUGAUUAAAGUGCUUCAACGACAGUUACAAUCAAACGAGGAAUUGGAGAGAGCUGCCUGGUGGGUCCCUGUGUAAUCGGACACGGCCCAGACUUCCUAGAUGCACUGAUGAGAUGGAUGCCGUCUAAUUGGAAGAUUCCUGGAAUUUUCAUCACUGGAAGUCCCCACAAAACACAGGAUCCAGUUUAUUCAUUCCAUGAAAACAUAUCGAGUCAUUACCACGUGCCUGGCACUGCUGGGGAAGAUGGAAUCCAGAAAAAAACUUCCAGGCUCUGACAGUCAUCAAAAGAACCAGAAACGAGAGGUCACUGCCUCCCACGCCGCUGCGCUCUCUAGAAGCACUGUAA